rnacentral:rRNA from 1 species
UACGUAGGGGGGCUAGCGUUGUCCGGAAUCAUUGGGCGUAAAGCGCGCGUAGGCGGCCAGAUAAGUCCGGUGUGAAAGUCACAGGCUCAACCUGUGAAUGCCGCUGGAAACUGUCUGGGCUCGAGUCCGGGAGGGGCGAGUGGAAUUCCUGGUGUAGCGGUGAAAUGCGCAGAUAUCAGGAGGAACACCAAUGGCGAAGGCAGCUCUCUGGGGACGGUACUGACGCUGA